rnacentral:rRNA from 1 species
UUGCUGGGUGGAUUAGUGGCGAACGGGUGAGUAACACGUGAGUAACCUGCCCUUAACUCUGGGAUAAGCCUGGGAAACUGGGUCUAAUACCGGAUAGGAGCGUCCACCGCAUGGUGGGUGUUGGAAAGAUUUAUCGGUUUUGGAUGGACUCGCGGCCUAUCAGCUUGUUGGUGAGGUAAUGGCUCACCAAGGCGACGACGGGUAGCCGGCCUGAGAGGGUGACCGGCCACACUGGGACUGAGACACGGCCCAGACUCCUACGGGAGGCAGCAGUGGGGAAUAUUGCACAAUGGGCGCAAGCCUGAUGCAGCGACGCCGCGUGAGGGAUGACGGCCUUCGGGUUGUAAACCUCUUUCAGUAGGGAAGAAGCGAAAGUGACGGUACCUGCAGAAGAAGCACCGGCUAACUACGUGCCAGCAGCCGCGGUAAUACGUAGGGUGCGAGCGUUAUCCGGAAUUAUUGGGCGUAAAGAGCUCGUAGGCGGUUUGUCGCGUCUGUCGUGAAAGUCCGGGGCUUAACCCCGGAUCUGCGGUGGGUACGGGCAGACUAGAGUGCAGUAGGGGAGACUGGAAUUCCUGGUGUAGCGGUGGAAUGCGCAGAUAUCAGGAGGAACACCGAUGGCGAAGGCAGGUCUCUGGGCUGUAACUGACGCUGAGGAGCGAAAGCAUGGGGAGCGAACAGGAUUAGAUACCCUGGUAGUCCAUGCCGUAAACGUUGGGCACUAGGUGUGGGGGACCAUUCCACGGUUUCCGCGCCGCAGCUAACGCAUUAAGUGCCCCGCCUGGGGAGUACGGCCGCAAGGCUAAAACUCAAAGGAAUUGACGGGGGCCCGCACAAGCGGCGGAGCAUGCGGAUUAAUUCGAUGCAACGCGAAGAACCUUACCAAGGCUUGACAUGUUCUCGAUCGCCGUAGAGAUACGGUUUCCCCUUUGGGGCGGGUUCACAGGUGGUGCAUGGUUGUCGUCAGCUCGUGUCGUGAGAUGUUGGGUUAAGUCCCGCAACGAGCGCAACCCUCGUUCCAUGUUGCCAGCACGUAGUGGUGGGGACUCAUGGGAGACUGCCGGGGUCAACUCGGAGGAAGGUGAGGACGACGUCAAAUCAUCAUGCCCCUUAUGUCUUGGGCUUCACGCAUGCUACAAUGGCCGGUACAAUGGGUUGCGAUACUGUGAGGUGGAGCUAAUCCCAAAAAGCCGGUCUCAGUUCGGAUUGGGGUCUGCAACUCGACCCCAUGAAGUCGGAGUCGCUAGUAAUCGCAGAUCAGCAACGCUGCGGUGAAUACGUUCCCGGGCCUUGUACACACCGCCCGUCAAGUCACGAAAGUCUGGUAACACCCGAAGCCGGUGGCCUAACCCU